rnacentral:sRNA from 1 species
AUUUUAAUUUUUCCUGCCACAGACUGUAGACGAGGAGCCAGUGUUUACAGAUGAAGAUUACCAGAGAUAUUUACAGGAACACCAUGCACAGCCUGGAGUCAUUCAUCCUCCAGAAAAUUUGCAAUUCCAACCUGAAGGACAGCUUCAUCAACAAGAACAACCAUCUGAACAUCAGCAAGGCCAACC